UACGUAGGGGGCAAGCGUUGUCCGGAAUCAUUGGGCGUAAAGCGCGUAGGCGGCCCGGUAAGUCCGUUGUGAAAGUCAAAGGCUCAACCUUUGAAAGCCGAUGGAUACUGCCGGGCUAGAGUCCGGAAGAGGCGAGUGGAAUUCCUGGUGUAGCGGUGGAAUGCGCAGAUAUCAGGAGGAACACCGAUAGCGAAGGCAGCUCGCUGGGACGGUACUGACGCUGAGGCGCGAAAGCGUGGGGAGCGAACAGG
rnacentral:rRNA from 1 species